rnacentral:lncRNA from 7 species
GAAUUCAAAUCUCUUCGUAACAAACUCGCUGGUGCAUCGUAACAAACUCGUAGGGAUCUUGCCAGCCGUGCGCCAGCUAGACCAUCGAUGCUUCCGAUAUAAGAACCUAGUCGCCUUCUCCUCUGAAAGCCUGUGCUGCACCAGGAUUUCUAGUCGUAACCCCUGAACUAAGAGAGAGAGAUAUAUAUAUAUGUUGCUGCCGUCGACAACGUUGCACUGCACCAUUGCUUAGCCCUCACCGGAGAGAGAGAAUCGGGCAGGGGAGCACGAGAUCCGCCGUCUGCGACGGCUGUCUAAACUUGCGUGCGAGGUUCGGGGAUCGAUCUGGCAAUGGCCCCAUAGGCUGGGGGUCUCGGGUGUUGCAACGCCAAGCAGGGCAGAGUUGCCAGAGCUGGAGCAAUCGCUCGAUGUAGCUUUGGUACGCCGCAGAAGCCCCGACGGUGCUGGCCGCGCUACACUACGAACUUGCUGUUCGCACUUCGCACCGCAUAUCUCCGGUUCUGUGGUUUGCCUCUACGUCGCAAGCUCCUUGAGAUGGCGGCGAAGUCUAGAUACACACGCCGGCUUCCGCUCAGAAGGGAGGUCGCCAUCACCGUCGCCAACCCAG